AAACCAGCACCUCAAGUGGUCAGGAGGAUUAUUGGGCCUAAAGCAUCCGUAGCCUGUUCUGUAAGUUUUCGGUUAAAUCCAUUAGCUCAACUAAUGGGCCGCCGAAAAUACUGUAGAACUAGGGAGUGGGAGAGGUAGACGGUAUUCGGUAGGAAGGGGUAAAAUCCUUUGAUCUAUUGAGGACCACCUGUGGCGAAGGCGGUCUACCAGAACACGUUCGACGGUGAGGGAUGAAAGCUGGGGGAGCAAACCGGAUUAGAUACCCCUGUAGUCC
rnacentral:rRNA from 1 species